rnacentral:misc_RNA from 1 species
AAGUCGUAACAAGGUUUCCGUAGGUGAACCUGCGGAAGGAUCAUUAAUAAUUUUACUUUUAAAAUGAUAUCUAGUUAAAAAAUAAUAUUUUUUACUAGUAAUAUCAGAACACCUUGUGAACCGUAAUUUUAAACUGAUUGCCAGUUUUCUUUGUAUAUAACAUUUUUCUUUCUAAAAAAAAGGAAAAGGUUUAAUACUCUCUAAUCUGGCAAAAGGUUUAUCUUUUUAUAAACUCUUAACUUUUGUUAAUAAUUUUUAAAAUUGAGUUUUUUAAAAACACUUAAAUUUAAACAACUUUUAACAAUGGAUCUCUUGGCUCUU